rnacentral:rRNA from 1 species
AGAGUUUGAUCCUGGCUCCGGACGAACGCUUGCGGCGUGCCUGAGAAAUGCAAGUCGGACGGGGGGAGAGGGGGAAACCUCGAUUCCCUAGUGGCGAACGGUCGAGUAACACGUAAGCAAUCUGGCCCACCGACGGGGAUAACUUCUCGAAAGGGAGGCUAAUACCCGAUACGCUUUCCGGGGGGGAGCCUUUGGGAAGGAAAGGGAGUGAUUUGCGGUGGGGGGAGCUUGCGGCCUAUCAGCUAGUUGGGGGGGUAACGGCCCACCAAGGCGACGACGGGUAGCUGGUCUGAGAGGACGGCCAGCCGGACUGGGACUGAGACACGGCCCAGACUCCUACGGGAGGCAGCAAUCAGGGAUCUUGCACAAUGGGCGAAAGCCUGAUGCAGCGACGCCGCGUGAGUGACGACGGCCUUCGGGUUGUAAAGCUCUGUUUACGGGGAAGAAUAAGUGACGGUACCCGUAGAGGAAGCCCCGGCUAACUACGUGCCAGCAGCCGCGGUAAGACGUAGGGGGCGAGCGUUGUCCGAAGUUACUGGGCGUAAAGCGCGCGUAGGCGGCGCGUUAAGGGAGGUGUGAAAGGCCCCGGCUCAACCGGGGGAGCGCACUUUCGACUGGCGCGCUUGAGGGCAGGAGAGGGGCGUGGAAUUCCUGGUGGAGCGGUGAAAUGCGUAGAGAUCAGGAAGAACACCCGUGGCGAAGGCGGCGCUCUGGCCUGUGUCUGACGCUGAGGUGCGAAGGCGUGGGGAGCAAACGGGAUUAGAUACCCCGGUAGUCCACGCGGUAAACGAUGGUCACUAGGUGUCGGAGGUAUCGACCCCUUCGGUGCCGCAGCGAACGCAAUAAGUGACCCGCCUGGGGAGUACGGCCGCAAGGCUAAAACUCAAAGGAAUUGACGGGGGCCCGCACAAGCGGUGGAGCAUGUGGUUUAAUUUGUUACUAACCGAAGAACCUUACCCAGGCUUGACAUCCCCUGAUGACCUGGUGAGAGCCGGGGUCCGAGGUCGAAAGGCCGAGGCAGGGAGACAGGUGUUGCAUGGCUGUCGUCAGCUCGUGUCGUGAGAUGUUGGGUUCAGUCCCGCAACGAGCGCAACCCUCAUCCGAUGUUGCCAGCGGGAAAGCCGGGCACUCUUCGGAAACUGCGGUAGCAAUACCGAGGAAGGUGGGGAUGACGUCAAGUCAGCAUGGCCCUUACGCCUGGGGCGACACACAUGCUACAAUGGGGGCACACAGAGGGACGCGAGGCUGCGAAGCGGAGCGAAUCUCAAAAAGGCCCUCUCAGUUCGGAUUGGAGUCUGCAACUCGACUCCAUGAAGUCGGAAUCGCUAGUAACCGCCGAUCAGCCAAGCGGCGGUGAAUACGUUCCCGGGCCUUGUACACACCGCCCGUCAAGUCAGCCGAGUCAGGUGCACCCGAAGCGAUCGACCCAACCUGCAAAGGAGGGAGGUGGUGAAAGUGUGCCUGGUGAGGGGGAUUAAGUCGUAACAAGGUA